rnacentral:rRNA from 1 species
GAUGAACGCUGGCGGCGUGCCUAAUACGUGCAAGUCGAGCGAACGGACGAGAAGCUUGCUUCUCUGAUGUUAGCGGCGGACGGGUGAGUAACACGUGGAUAACCUACCUAUAAGACUGGGAUAACUUCGGGAAACCGGAGCUAAUACCGGAUGAUAUUUUGAACCGCAUUGUUCAAAAGUGAAAGACGGUCUUGCUGUCACUUAUAGAUGGAUCCGCGCUGCAUUAGCUAGUUGGUAAGGUAACGGCUUACCAAGGCAACGAUGCAUAGCCGACCUGAGAGGGUGAUCGGCCACACUGGAACUGAGACACGGUCCAGACUCCUACGGGAGGCAGCAGUAGGGAAUCUUCCGCAAUGGGCGAAAGCCUGACGGAGCAACGCCGCGUGAGUGAUGAAGGUCUUCGGAUCGUAAAACUCUGUUAUUAGGGAAGAACAUAUGUGUAAGUAACUGUGCACAUCUUGACGGUACCUAAUCAGAAAGCCACGGCUAACUACGUG